CGGUGGAUGCCUAGGCAGUCAGAGGCGAUGAAGGACGUGCUAAUCUGCGAUAAGCGUCGGUAAGCUGAUAUGAAGCGUUAUAACCGACGAUUUCCGAAUGGGGAAACCCAGUGCAAUUCGUUGCACUAUCGUUAAGUGAAUACAUAGCUUAACGAAGCGAACCAGGGGAACUGAAACAUCUAAGUACCCUGAGGAAAAGAAAUCAACCGAGAUUCCCCUAGUAGCGGCGAGCGAACGGGGAGCAGCCCAGAACCUUAAUCAGCGUAUGUGUCAGAGGAACGGUCUGGAAAGUCCGGCGAUACAGGGUGAUAGCCCCGUACUUGAAAAUGCAUAUGCUGUGAGUUCGAUGAGUAGGGCGGGACACGUGA
rnacentral:rRNA from 1 species